CACAGCUCUCUGACAACCCGCGAAGGGGAAGUAGUAGGGGGUGACACCUGACCAGUGCCGGAACGUUAACGGGAGCGGUUCACGCCAAUCCCCGAAGCGCCGGUGAACGUCGGCGAUAACUAUAAUCGUCCUAAGGUAGCGAAAUUCCUUGUCAGGUAAGUUCUGACCCGCAUGAAAGGUGUAAUGACUUGAAAACUGUCUCAACGAAGAUCCCGGUGAAAUUGCAAUAACGGUAAAGAUGCCGUUGACAUGCAGCAAGACGAAAAGACCCCAUGGAGCUUUACUAUAGCUUGGUAUUGAAUUAAGCUUUUUGUUGCCGAGAAUAGGUGGGAGACUAUGAAACCUCGUUUCUGGAUGAGGUGGAGUCAGAAUAUGGAAUACCACUCUGCAAAAAUUUUAAUUCUCACCUACGACCAUGAAUCUGGUCGGGGGACAGUGCCUGGUGGGUAGUUUGACUGGGGC
rnacentral:rRNA from 1 species